GAUCACUAUUAAAAUCAAGUACCAGCUGCGCUUGUCUAACGAACUGCUCUGGAUGACUCCAUCACCGUGCUGAUGUGGUGCACUUCGAAACUCACAACCUCUUCUUGUUGGACCUUAACUAAACAAACACAAAACACUUAUUCAUAUGGGCCUUUAUCAAAACCGAUGGCUCAACUCACAAAAAAAAACACAAACCCAUAUGGUUUGUUGACUUUCUUUGACUCCUCUCUUGUCUUCUCCGACACCCCGACAACGUGUUCUUCUUCCUUUCUUCAUCUUCUGAUUCUCUCACUGUUCCUUAUUUUCUUUGUUGCCGGAUGAUCUUGGUUCAUCCUCCGAAUGCAGUGAUUUUGGAGCAUCGUCUCUCCUUCCUCCCAUUGACAACGUCUGAAAUCAAAACGGACCAGAUGUUGUUGGUCAAUGGUCGGGCUUUCUCUGAUUAGUGAGUGAUGAGAUGACGAAGAUGAUCAGUGUGGCCUAAAACGAUACCGUUUAACGAUUUGGGAAUUGGGCUUUUGGUGUUAGUUGGCCCACCACAUUAUUUAUUUAGGGUCCAUUGGCAUUAGUUGAUGAGACGUCGUCAUUUUCUGGAGCCCCUUUUAUCUGAAAUCAUAACGGAACAGAGGAGACUGAGAUCAUCUAAGCUGCUUUGGUGGUAUUUGAUAAAGAGUUUGAGUUUAGGCUUUUUGGGGGGUUUUGGAACAGUCCCCGACCUUGGCUUUGAGAGUUGAGACUGCUUGUAGACAGUGGAGGAGUAGCGGCUGAUGAUUAUAAAUAGUGAAAACCCAAGGAACAAAAACUAAACCGCAGAAAUCAGGUUUUUGUUAUCGAUCAAUGAUGGCUUUGAUGGAAACGCUUCAUCUCCUCUCUUCUAACGGCGGAAGAGACCCAACCCAGAGCCUCGGUUGGUUGUGGAAUAGCAACGCGGCGGCGGACAAGUUCGACGGCGGAAGAGACCCAACCCAGAGCCGGAUUUGUUGUUACACAACACUGGUUUUGGGAUGAUGCCUUUAUUGAUCAAUGAUGGCUUUGACGGAAACGCUUCAUCUCCUCUGUUCUAUAGUCUUCAGGGGUUUUGGAUGCUUCUCUCUUAUAGAUAAGAGUAAUGACUUUGAUGGACACGCUUCUUCUCUCUGCUAACGUCUUCUAGGGUCUUUUUGAAGCAAACCAUGAUCCAAUCAUCACGUAUCGCUAAUCCAUGCUAUUGUCUUCAAGCCUUCUCACAGAUCGAGGUGGUGGUCCAUGCACUGUGGGAUUGCUCUUGUUGAAUCUUAUCUCCUCGUCUUGGUAUGCAGAAGUCUGAGCUCCUCUGAUGUGGUUUAAUCAUUCAGAUCAUCGAGACACCCGAGAUUAAUGUAUUGGAGGGUUUGAAGAGAAGAAAAUACAUUGUGGAAGUGAAUGGUUUGCGUGGUAUGCUUAAGUUUGAGCUCCUCUAAUGCACAUGGCUGGACAUGUGGUUUAAUUAUUCAGAUUUUGGGGGAUCCUUUGCUCUGUCGGUGAUGGUUCUGAUGGAUCGUUGUCUUCUCUGAGCUACACAUCUUAAGACCAUCGAGAUUAAUGUGUGUGAGGGUUUGAAGAGAAGAAAGAAACAUUGUGAAAGUGAAUGGUUUGCGUAUGAAGCUAGAACCAUACAAGUAGAUCGAGUGAUGGCUUUGACUGAUCCUUGUCACUCUCAUUCAGUGUUGCUCUUCCGGGUUUGGUAUUGGAUGAUGCUUUGAUCGAUCAUUGAUGGCUUUGAUGGACUCCUUCUUCUCUGUGCUCUACGUCUUCAUGGACGAGGAGGCACCUGGAUUACUGACUGUGUGGGAGGUUCAAAUAGAAAACACUGUGGGAGUUUAACUUUCAGAUGUUCUUGCCGUGGACACACACAUUCAGAUGAGAGAUGCUCCACAAUUUCUUUCCUAGACGAGAGGAGAGUUUGUUUUUAAGCUUUGUCCUUUGAUGCAGAUCCUCGAGGCAAUGGUAUCACUGUACAGGAGGUGGUGUGUUGGAAGUGAAUCAUGGAGGCUCCUCCCGCUUCUGAAUUGUCACACGCUCGCACCUCCUCGGCUCUUCCUACGAUCGUCGUCACAGUCCAGGCACUAGGAUUUCUUUGUUGAAUUGAACUUUUAUCUUCUCGUCUAGAAUCAGGGUCUCUGCUACUAAUUAUGAUGCACAAGGCUGGUCAUGUGGUUUAUUUUAGGUACUUCCUCAUCUUUCCCGUCUGCUAUUUUAAGUUUUGGACUGUGCUUCCUUUCUCCUCUUUUGAUGCAGUUCCUCGAGGCACCUGGAUUACUCUCUGGGAGUUUAACUUUUUCAGAUGUUCUUGCUGUGUACACACAAAUUCUUUCCUAGACGAGAGAGAGAGAGAGAUGAAGCAAAGCAAACACGAGAGAGUCAAUUUGAAACGACGUGUGUAACUAAGGAGAUUGUUGUGUCUGCCUCUGACAUUAUUAUUUAGAUUUUUUUAUUCUACAGGAUGCAAGCUAAGGUAAGGUUAUCGGUGGUGGGAUGAGAGAGAGAGGCUGGAAUUGAUGGAGCUAAACGAAGAGAUUUGUUCAUUGGUCUCCGGAGACCAGCGAGAGAGGUGGGUGAGGCUUAAAAAGCUAGUUUCUCGGGUGAUUGACAGUGGAGCUACUAACAAGCCACAGGAGUUGGAUGAUGCAGUACUUAAUUUAGGAGUUUAGGGCUUGUCUCGUAUUUGAUGGUAAUCCAUUGGAGUCCUACCUAUCUGUACCUCUUGUGGAGCUGACAUGUAUUUGAGGCUGCUCGUGCUUUAGCUAAUUUGGCUGCUCAUGGAGAUAGCAACAAGCGUGUUCUUGAUGCCCUUGUCCCUUCUGUUCUUGGUGGAACCUGUGUCAUUCCUGGUGCUUUUGGCUGUGGGAAAGCUGUUGUCUGCCAGGCACUUUCCAAGUACUCCAACUCUGAUGCUGUUGUGUAUGUUGGUUGUGGAGAGAGACGAAAUGAAACGGCGGUUGAGGCUCUUAUGGACUUCCCACAAUUGACUAUGACGUUGCCUGAUGGUCCUGGGGAAUCUGUCAUAAAACGUACCACACUUGUUACCAAAGAUGCCCGUGGCUGCUCUUGAAGCCUCAAAUUACGCAGGAAUCACAAUUGCUGAAUCUUUUAGAGAUAUGGGAUACACUGUCAGUACGAUGGCAGACUCAACUUCCCGUUGGGCAGAAGCAUUGAGAGAAAUUUCAAGACGACUGGUAAUCAUUUGCGUUUCAUUGUUGUGUAGGUCUUCUGGGCUUUGCACAAAAGCUUGCCCAGAGAAAACAUUUUCCCUCUGUUAAUUGGUUUCUUUCCUGCUCAAUGUAUUCAAAGGCAUUGAAAUCUUUCUAUGCAACACCUCUUUGGCCUUUGUCCUGAUGUGGAUGAAACCUGGAUCGAACUGCUCAUAGAAAGAUUUCAGGAACUGAGGGAAGACUAACUUGCUCAAAACGCGUUUACACCAUAUGACAAAUUCUGCCCUUUCUACAAGUCCGUGAGGAUGAUGCGUAACAUUAUCCAUUUCUACAAUCUAGCCAACCUGGCAGUUGAGAGAGCAGCUGGAAUGGACGGUCAAAAGAUUACUUCCACAAGGAUUGGAUGAGUUCAGGUUUAAUCAAGGAGCCGCAUUGCUGCUUACUUUUAAUGCAAAGCUCACAGGAAGAUGUCCAAGAGAGAUCAGCUACUGGACUUGCAAGUUUCGUAGUUAUCGAUAAUGAGAAUGCUAGUAUAGACUGUGGAAGAGCUGAAGCAGUUAUGAAAGACGGAGGUAUCCGUCUUCUUCUAGAACUUGCACAAUCAUGGCGAGAAGGGCUUAGCUUCAGUCAGAAGCUGCAAAGACUAUUGCAAAUUUGUUGGUAAAUGCUAAUGUUGCAAAGUCUGUUUCUGAAGAAGGAGGUACCAGAAUUCUUGCUGGUUGGCAAAGUCAAUGAACGGACUUGUGGCGGAGGAAGCUGCUGGUGGACAAAUGUACAUGCUCUUGUGAUGUUAGAUCGGAAUUGCAAGUUCGAGGGAGUGCAAGGACAGGCUGCUCGUGCUUUAGCUAAUUUGGCUGCUCAUGGGGAUAGCAAUUAGACAAGAAGCUGCUGGUGCGUUAUGGAAUUUGUUGUUUGAUGAUAAGAAUCGAGAAUCUCUCGCUGCAGCUGGUGGCGUUGAAGCUUUGGUGGUGCUGGCGCAGCCUUGUUCAAAUGCUUCGACAGGUCUUCAAGAAAGAGCUGCUGGUGCACUUUGGGGAUUAUCAGUGUCAGAAGCAAACAGGUGCUAAAAGCAUCUGAAUCUAAGUUUUAUGUGUUGCGUAUAUAGAUUGUCACCUGAUUUGUUAAAGAUUAAUGCAGAAGCAUAACAAGGCAAGACCAUCUUACUUUAACAUGUUACACAUGCUGAUACUUUUUCUUUUGCUUGCACCAAGUCUUGGCUUUGGUUAGCAGAGAAGUUUUAAAGGAGAGUCUUAUCAAGAUAUUGUUAAUGUCAUUUGCCUUGAUAAUGAUUCCUGUCUUUGCGAUUGGACGUGAAGUUGAGGAUGUACAUGAAACUGUAGCAGGAGCUCUAUGGAAUUUUGCUUUUAAUCCUGGUAAUGCACUCCGCAUUGUUGAGGAAAGAGGAGUUCCAGCUCUUGUACACCUGUGUUCGUCUUCUGUCUCAGAAAUGGCUCGAUUCAUGGCUGCAUUGGCUUUGGCAUACAUUUUUGAUGGAAGGAUGGAUGAUGAAUACACUCUGAUGAUAGGAACAUUUUAAUCAGAGGGCACAUCGAAAAGCAUUAGCUUAGAUGGGCCAAGAACGACGGCUCUUAAACACAUUGAAGCUUUUGUUAAAACUUUCAUGGAUCCUCAAAUCUUUGCAGCUGCUCCUGUUUUAUCUACUCCUAGUAUGUUGGCACAAGUGACAGAUAGAGCUCGCAUACAGAAGCUGGGCAGCACCUGAGAUGCAGUGAGGCUGAAAUUGGAAGAUUUGUAACAAUGUUACGUAAUCCUAAUUCGACAGUCGAAGCUUCAAUGUUAAUAUGUGAUAACAAACAUUGUGCUACGUUAACGUUUGCGUACCUGCAGCAGCUUCUUGUCCAGCUAGUCAUGGCAACAACAACUAGUAACACUUCUGUUGGAUUCAGAAAUUUUCUCACUGUCUUUUAGAUCGUCAAUCAUGCCUUUUAUCUAUCUGUCACAAAGAGUCAAUUUCAUGAAUAAAGCUGCAGUAGAUUUAUAAUA